GAGCGUUUAAGAGAGAGAAUUCUUGGCACACCUCUUCCUCCCCUCCAGAGUGCCCCGGCGUCUUUCUAGCCUCCGCCUCCAGGCGGGUGAGGAGGUGACACCUGAGAAUUCCUCCCUCUCACCCCUGACCCUGCCGGAAAGCGAAACUGAGAUGCGGGCAUUGGGCCCUGGGAAGCGUGGGGAAGGGGAAAGGAGAAAGCCAGGUUAACUACGUCAGGAUUAAUGUGUUCCACUUCUGCUGCCUGAGAAAAUGGAGAAAUUAAGUCCUUUCCAUGGAUCAUUCCUUCUGUAAACAGAGAUCACAAAGCAAGAGCUUCAGCAUCCUCGUGAAAAAGACAUUUUGUUCUGGGUGUCAUCAUCUCCUUCCACUACAGCUUGCAAUUGGAACAAGCUUCACAUCCUGGGGGUGCUGCCUAUCUCUGUCUUGAUUUCUGCCUGUCUAUUCCUCCCAUUGACAGGAAUGUCGUUUGUAUCCUCCACGCAGCAGUUUGCAGAAAUCCAGCAAGGUUUAUGGUUUAUGUUGCCCAGCAUGUAUAAACACAACGCUCUCAAAUGCUUUUUAAAAAUCUAUGAAUUUGUUAGACGUCUUCACAUCCUGGUCCUCCUACCCCAAUUCUCAAACACAAAGUACUCUGUUGCCCUAUUAUAGUCCUGCGAUAGUUCUGGCUAGGAUUAGGUUGACGGUCUAAGCCCCAAGAAAGGCCUGGCAUUUUCAUAGCAGGCUUUCCCCAAUGCUUUGAGUCUUCCUCUCUCACUCCCUUUUUCUUUUUCCCUCGGAGGAGGGGGUGUUGGGGGUGGGAGGUGAUUAGUAAAUGUUUCAGGUAAUCUGUGAAUUCUUAAUAGUCAUAUUUCCGUGGUGGAAGAUCUCCCUAUUUCUCUGAUGUGACAGGUUACAGAAACCUUGGUGUUGGGGGUUUUACAGAUAUUUACAAGUUCUAGGAGUUUGAACUUUGGGUCAAGAUGUUGAUUCCUUUUAAUGUGUGAGGGUGAAGGAGGUUUUAUUUUGCUUUAUUCUUUUGGAUGUUAUGAGAUGAGAUUGUAUCCAGUCUUGGCUGUAACCUAUACCAUAAAUGCAGAGCUGCAACCAUUA